CUCUCAGGACUGCGUGGAUAUGUGCAACCAUUGAUUGACGUCUUCCCCACUUUCCUGUUAGUUUUGUUGCACUUAUUAGGGUGCAGACUGUAUUUCGCUCCCCAAUUAUUUGUGAAUUGACCCCACAUCUUCACGCAGAGUUCAAUCUGAUUGACAGGCGAAGCCAUUCUCCAAUAUUCAGCAAGUUUGAGAGAGUGGGAUUGAAUACUCUAAGUGAUGAUUUUUUUCUAUUCUUGUUUUGUAUCCGCAUGGUGAGAUAAUACAAGCAGCAAUCUGUACAGUAACGAAGAUUAAUGACAGUAACACAUGUGAUAAGAUUUGAUCAUUUACAACUUUGUGGACUGCUGUCGUUAGCCCGCUAGCCAUGCUAGCUUCCAUCUCUACCUAUGGUAUUUCCUGUCCAGCAAGUAAAAUUAGGGAAACUCCCUAAAAGCUUCGUACUUCACCCGGAUGGGCAUGGUUUUGCAGGACAUAGCAGUGCACACUUCAGCAAGCUCUGUGCCUGUCUCAGCCCAUGUUCUGAGUACAUGCUCAUGAGUUUUCCCACGAUGGAGGGUCUAACAACUUGAAAGACUGCAGCAAACUGAGACAGCUUUGCAGGAGCAUUCUCUGGAACAUGUAUAUACCAAAAAGAGGUUCCAUGUCCAGAGAAGGAAGAAAUUGGACUGUGCAGCAAAACUGUUUAUUCAGCAUUUAAAGAGCCCAAGGAUGUGAAUCUGAUCCUUUCCAAAAUGUGCCGAAAUCUAUGUCAGUCCUACAUCUGUCAACACGCUGAUGGGUGAAAUGCUGCAGCAGUAUGAGAGAAACAUACAUGAGCUUACACUUCAAUAUGAGCUAGGUUAUGUGUGGAGAUGUGUGUCAUAUAUCAACAGUUAAUUGUGCAGAUGUAUGUCUGUGUAUAUAUGAAUGUAUACAUAAUAU